CCUACGGGAGGCAGCAGUGGGGAAUAUUGCACAAUGGGCGAAAGCCUGAUGCAGCAACGCCGCGUGAGCGAUGAAGGCCUUAGGGUCGUAAAGCUCUGUCCUCAAGGAAGAUAAUGACGGUACUUGAGGAGGAAGCCCCGGCUAACUACGUGCCAGCAGCCGCGGUAAUCCGUAGGGGGCUAGCGUUAUACGGAAUUACUGGGCGUAAAGGGUGCGUAGGUGGUUUCUUAAGUAAGAGGUAAAAGGCUACGGCUCAACCGUAGUAAGCCUUUGAAACUGGGGAACUUAAGUGCAGGAGAGGAGAGUGGAAUUCCUAGUGUAGCGGUGAAAAUGGUAGAUAUUAGGAGGAACACCAG
rnacentral:rRNA from 1 species